rnacentral:rRNA from 1 species
GACGAACGCUGGCGGCGUGCUUAACACAUGCAAGUCGAACGGAAAGGCCCUGCUUUUGUGGGGUGCUCGAGUGGCGAAAGGGUAAGUAACACGUGAGUAACCUGCCCUUGACUUUGGGAUAACUUCAGGAAACUGGGGCUAAUACCGGAUAGGAGCUCCUGCUGCAUGGUGGGGGUUGGAAAGUUUCGGCGGUUGGGGAUGGACUCGCGGCUUAUCAGCUUGUUGGUGGGGUAGUGGCUUACCAAGGCUUUGACGGGUAGCCGGCCUGAGAGGGUGACCGGCCACAUUGGGACUGAGAUACGGCCCAGACUCCUACGGGAGGCAGCAGUGGGGAAUAUUGCACAAUGGGCGGAAGCCUGAUGCAGCAACGCCGCGUGCGGGAUGACGGCCUUCGGGUUGUAAACCGCUUUCGCCUGUGACGAAGCGUGAGUGACGGUAAUGGGUAAAGAAGCACCGGCUAACUACGUG